UAAGGUGGUUAUAGAGCUAGGGAUCCACCUCUUCCCAUUCCGAACAGAGAAGUUAAGCCUAGUCUCGCCGAUGGUACUGCGUAAAAGUGGGAGAGUAGGUUGCCGCCGUCU
rfam:Bacteroidales bacterium KA00251 genomic scaffold Scaffold64, whole genome shotgun sequence.